GACACUAGGAAGUCCAGGUUGCCAACAUACUGGAAACCAAUAUUUUUGGGUCAGGUCCCCAUAGGUCUCUGAUCUUAAGAGAACCAAAGUCUAUGCUUAAAGUGGAGAUGGAAAAAAGGACAUAAAAACGAAUUUUAGUUUUCCCACACAACAAGGUGUGUGUGCCAAGAUGGUUAAUGUGAGUCAACAUCAAGAUCUCCCUCCUCCCAGGAACCAAGAGGAAGUUUCUCAAAACUAGAAGGGAAAGGUAUUUCUCCCCGAUGUCAUUGGAGACAUUCUAUUAGUACUAUAUGUCCUUCCCCAAAAAAUAACAAUGAAGUGUUCUGUGUGCUAACAACAUAGCUUAAAAAAAAAAAAAGGUAAAACAAAAUCUGCAUUUUUAUAAAACU